rnacentral:rRNA from 1 species
GAUGAACGCUGGCGGCGUGCCUAAUACAUGCAAGUCUAGCGAACGGACGAGAAGCUUGCUUUUCUGAUGUUAGCGGCGGACGGGUGAGUAACACGUGGAUAACCUACCUAUAAGACUGGGAUAACUUCGGGAAACCGGAGCUAAUACCGGAUAAUAUUUUGAACCGCAUGGUUCAUAAGUGAAAGACGGUCUUGCUGUCACUUAUAGAUGGAUCCGCGCUGCAUUAGCUAGUUGGUAAGGUAACGGCUUACCAAGGCAACGAUGCAUAGCCGACCUGAGAGGGUGAUCGGCCACACUGGAACUGAGACACGGUCCAGACUCCUACGGGAGGCAGCAGUAGGGAAUCUUCCGCAAUGGGCGAAAGCCUGACGGAGCAACGCCGCGUGAGUGAUGAAGGUCUUCGGAUCGUAAAACUCUGUUAUUAGGGAAGAACAUAUGUGUAAGUAACUGUGCACAUCUUGACGGUACCUAAUCAGAAAGCCACGGCUAACUACGU